CCUACGGGUGGCAGCAGUGAGGAAUAUUGGUCAAUGGGCGCGAGCCUGAACCAGCCAAGUCGCGUGAGGGAUGAAGGUUCUAUGGAUCGUAAACCUCUUUUAUAAGGGAAUAAAGUGUGGGACGUGUCCUAUUUUGUAUGUACCUUAUGAAUAAGGAUCGGCUAACUCCGUGCCAGCAGCCGCGGUAAUACGGAGGAUCCGAGCGUUAUCCGGAUUUAUUGGGUUUAAAGGGUGCGUAGGCGGCCUUUUAAGUCAGCGGUGAAAGUUUGUGGCUCAACCAUAGAAUUGCAGUUGAAACUGGGAGGCUUGAGUACGGUUGAGGUAGGCGGAAUGCGUGGUGUAGCGGUGAAAUGCUUAGAUAUCACGAAGAACCCCGAUUGCGAAGGCAGCUUGCUAAGCCAUGACUGACGCUGAUGCACGAAAGUGUGGGGAUCAAACAGGAUUAGAUACCCGAGUAGUC
rnacentral:rRNA from 1 species